UACGAAGGGGGCUAGCGUUGCUCGGAAUCACUGGGCGUAAAGCGCACGUAGGCGGGUUGCUAAGUCAGGGGUGAAAUCCUGGAGCUCAACUCCAGAACUGCCCUUGAUACUGGCGGCCUUGAGUCCGGGAGAGGUGAGUGGAACUGCGAGUGUAGAGGUGAAAUUCGUAGAUAUUCGCAAGAACACCAGUGGCGAAGGCGGCUCACUGGCCCGGUUACUGACGCUGAGGUGCAAAAGCGUGGGGA
rnacentral:rRNA from 1 species